UCCAAAAUUCAAUAAAGGAGAUGCCAGG
rnacentral:piRNA from 1 species